GACGAACGCUGGCGGCGUGCUUAACACAUGCAAGUCGAACGGAAAGGCCCUGCUUUUGUGGGGUGCUCGAGUGGCGAACGUGUGUGUAACACGUGAGUAACCUUCCCUUGACUUUGGGAUAACUUCAGGAAACUGGGGCUAAUACCGGAUAGGAGCUCCUGCUGCAUGGUGGGGGUUGGACAGUUUCGGCGGUUGGGGAUGGACUCGCGGCUUAUCAGCUUGUUGGUGGGGUAGUGGCUUACCAAGGCUUUGACGGGUAGCCGGCCUGAGAGGGUGACCGGCCACAUUGGGACUGAGAUACGGCACAGACUCCUACGGGAGGCAGCAGUGGAGAAUAUUGCACAGUGGGCGGAAGCCUGAUGCAGCAACGCCGCGUGCGGGAUGACGGCCUUCGGGUUGUAAACCGCUUUCGCCUGUGACGAAGCGUGAGUGACGGUAAUGGGUAAAGAAGCACCGGCUAACUACGUG
rnacentral:rRNA from 1 species